GCCAGGUGUGGUAGUGUGCACCUGUAAUCCCAGAUACUUGGGAGGCUGAGGCAGGAGAAUCACUUGAACCCAGGAGGCAGAGGUUGCAGUGAGCCAAGAUCAUGCCAUUGCACUCCAGCCUGGGUGACAGAGUGAGACUCUGUCUCAA
rnacentral:SRP_RNA from 1 species